ACAAGUGGCCAGAGUGGCUGUGUGAGAGCAGAAGGAACACUUUCCCACCUCUGAUUUCACACUUUUUUUUGUCCAACAAAUUCUUCUUCAUCAUGUUGCUGUUGCUGAUCCUGUUUGCUGUGUCUUUGCGCUCAUGUGCUGCACAAAUAUCAAUACCAGUGGCCUCUUCGACUGCCACUACACACGCAGCCGGACCACUGACAACCACAACGUAUCCUACAACACCAGCAGCCUCUUCUUCUGCCAUUACACACGAAGCCAGUCCGACGACAACCACAAUGAAUCCUACAAUGCCAGUGGCCUCUUCGACUGCCACUACAAACGUAGCCGGACCACUGACAACCACAACGUAUCCUACAACACCAGCCAGACUGACGACAACCCCAGGGGCCUUCACCUCUUCUGUGACAUUUACAGCGUCUCCCAAAAAGCCAUAUGUGGUCUUUAUUGAAGCGAGAGUUCUGUCCCAAAUUGAGUUAAGUAACAAUAAACUGCAACCAGUUUUGGACAAGCUCAAAGAAUUCAUCCAGGAGGAAUCAAAUGGGACGAUCAUUAUAACAGCAAAGAAGAUUAGAUAGGUUUAAAAUGUGGAGGCAAUUAGAGAUUACAUGUAAACUUCAUUUAAAAAAAAAUAUUAAUCUAAAUACCAAAUAUAAUUAGAUGAUUGUUAUUAUUGUUGUGGAUGUUCUUAAGGUGACUUCAGGAAAGCAGUACAAUUCAUCAAAAAAUACUCUCAAUUUAGCAGGAAAUCAUACUAAACCUUAGGUAUGUUCAAAUUCCACAAACAUAGAGCACAUGCAAUACAUCACACACAAUGAAAUUGCAUCAAAUGUUCAAACUGUGCAUAAUGUUACAGUGGCUUGAACUUUAAUCAGACAUUUGUUAAGUAGUAGAGUUCAAUUAUAUUUAACUUUGCAGUACAUUUCACUUGCAUUUAAUCCUUAAAAUGUAUUUGUUUUUAAACAUGUAUUUGGGUAUGUAAUGGUCAAACAGUGCAUUAUGUUACUCACAGUGGCUUUCAAUAUUAAAUAUACUUUUUAGGAAGGUGAAUAUGAGAUGGACAACAUCUUUUUUUUCCCAUUUUUACAAAAAUGUACUAUCAUGUUCAUCUCUUUUUCCUUUUGUUGUAGUUAACAUUUAACAAUCAUAUCUCAUUUUCUUAAUAGUCCGGAGUACUGUGAGAGAGAACUAUGGUAUAAAUUUCAAAUUUAUAUCUUCUACACAGAAGUACAUACAAUAUAUUACAAAUUGUCCUUAAUUUAGUUUAUCCAUACUAUUUGGUCUGUUGUUUUGAUAUGAUAAGUACCGGUAUGUAAAAGUGCAACAUGUAUAACCUGUUCAUUCUUUCAAAUAAUAAACAAUAUAUGUACCGAUA